rnacentral:rRNA from 1 species
GAUGAACGCUGGCGGCGUGCCUAAUACAUGCAAGUCGAGCGAACGUACGAGAAGCUUGCUUCUCUGAUGUUAGCGGCGGACGGGUGAGUAACACGUGGAUAACCUACCUAUAAGACUGGGAUAACUUCGGGAAACCGGAGCUAAUACCGGAUAAUAUUUUGAACCGCAUGGUUCAAAAGUGAAAGACGGUCUUGCUGUCACUUAUAGAUGGAUCCGCGCUGCAUUAGCUAGUUGGUAAGGUAACGGCUUACCAAGGCAACGAUGCAUAGCCGACCUGAGAGGGUGAUCGGCCACACUGGAACUGAGACACGGUCCAGACUCCUACGGGAGGCAGCAGUAGGGAAUCUUCCGCAAUGGGCGAAAGCCUGACGGAGCAACGCCGCGUGAGUGAUGAAGGUCUUCGGAUCGUAAAACUCUGUUAUUAGGGAAGAACAUAUGUGUAAGUAACUGUGCACAUCUUGACGGUACCUAAUCAGAAAGCCACGGCUAACUACGCG